CACGCAGGACGGGCGAUCGCUGGUUUUGGGUCAGAUCUUCGGAUCUGCCCCGAACGAGAGGAAAGUCCGGGCUCCAUAAAGCAGGAUACUGGCUAACGGCCAGGCACUGGGUUCGCGAGGACCCCGUGACGGAAAGUGCAACAGAAAAUAAACCGCCUGUCGGCGCAAGCGGACAGGUAAGGGCGAAACGGUGGGGUAAGAGCCCACCGCCCGGCCAGCGAUGGUCGGGGCACGGCAAACCCUAUCCGGAGCAAGGUCAAAUAGGGGAACCUGGCGUCGCAAGACGCCCAAACCAGCUCUGGUUUGCAGAGUCUUCGGGCUCAAGAGUUCUCGGGUAAGACCGCUUGAAGGCGCGAGUAACCGCGCCUCUAGAGGAAUGAUCGCCUCCGAUCGCGUAAGCGAACGAAGACAGAACCCGGCUUACAGUCCUGCGACUUUU
rnacentral:RNase_P_RNA from 1 species